rnacentral:rRNA from 1 species
UACAGAGGUCUCGAGCGUUAGGCGGAAUCACUGGGCUUAAAGCGUGUGUAGGCGGAUCGUUAAGUGCCUUGUGAAAUCCCACGGCUCAACCGUGGAACUGCUUGGCAUACUGGCGGUCUUGAGCAACCUAGGGGCGAGCGGAACAAAUGGUGGAGCGGUGAAAUGCGUAGAUAUCAUUUGGAACGCCAAUGGUGAAAACAGCUCGCUGGGGGUUUGCUGACGCUGAGACGACGAAAGCCAGGGGAGCAAACGGGG